rnacentral:rRNA from 1 species
AUGUACAACCACAUCAAUUUUUUUGCAGGAGAAAAGACAAAUGGUGGUCUGAAUUCUCGGAGACGUCAGAAACAUCUCUGUGUCAUAGUCUUGCAAGACUUGUGCCGGCCACAAGCCUCUCCAUCUGUUCUGUCCAUACAAGCAACACCCAUACCAUUCUGGUACGUUUCCUUACAACUUAGAAUUUUAUCAGGUCACAGCAGAAGGCUAAACAGUAACUGUCAUAGCCUCAUCCAGCGCAGGGCUCUGUAUGUAGCCCUUAUCUUGUUCUCCAGAAUACAAUGCCUUCAUCUGAGCUAG